GAACUUAAGAGUUUGAUCCUGGCUCAGAUUGAACGCUGGCGGCAUGCUUUACACAUGCAAGUCGAACGGCAGCAUGGAGAGCUUGCUCUCUGAUGGCGAGUGGCGAACGGGUGAGUAAUACAUCGGAACGUGUCCUUUUGUGGGGGAUAACUACUCGAAAGAGUAGCUAAUACCGCAUAAGACCUAAGGGUGAAAGCGGGGGACCUUCGGGCCUCGCGCAGUUGGAGCGGCCGAUGACUGAUUAGCUAGUUGGUGGGGUAAAGGCCUACCAAGGCGACGAUCAGUAGCUGGUCUGAGAGGACGACCAGCCACAUUGGGACUGAGACACGGCCCAAACUCCUACGGGAGGCAGCAGUGGGGAAUUUUGGACAAUGGGGGCAACCCUGAUCCAGCCAUGCCGCGUGCGGGAAGAAGGCCUUCGGGUUGUAAACCGCUUUUGUUAGGAACGAAAAGGUAUCUGUGAACAACAGGUAUUGCUGACGGUACCUAAAGAAUAAGCACCGGCUAACUACGUGCCAGCAGCCGCGGUAAUACGUAGGGUGCGAGCGUUAAUCGGAAUUACUGGGCGUAAAGCGUGCGCAGGCGGUUGGGUAAGACAGGUGUGAAAUCCCCGAGCUUAACUUGGGAACUGCACUUGUGACUGCUCAACUAGAGUAUGUCAGAGGGAGGUGGAAUUCCAAGUGUAGCAGUGAAAUGCGUAGAUAUUUGGAAGAACACCGAUGGCGAAGGCAGCCUCCUGGGAUAAUACUGACGCUCAUGCACGAAAGCGUGGGGAGCAAACAGGAUUAGAUACCCUGGUAGUCCACGCCCUAAACGAUGUCAACUAGUUGUUGGGCCGCAUGGCUUAGUAACACAGCUAACGCGAGAAGUUGACCGCCUGGGGAGUACGGUCGCAAGAUUAAAACUCAAAGGAAUUGACGGGGACCCGCACAAGCGGUGGAUGAUGUGGAUUAAUUCGAUGCAACGCGAAAAACCUUACCUA
rnacentral:ncRNA from 1 species